ACUCCUGAGCGCAAAUGAUCCGCCAGCCUCGGCCUCCAGAGUGCGUGAGCGACCGCGCCCAGUCCCCGAUUAUUCGUGAUUCUUAAGCCCUUCUCCAAAAGGUUUCUCUACAGCAGGUCCUGGUAGAGCUUGAGCCACCAUCUUUCAGAAGCUUCCUCAAGUGAUUCUGAUAUCACUGAUCCAAAGACCCCCAUGAGGGAACUGCUAUAUAAGAGGACUCCAGCCUGACCUAAGAACUUGACCUUUUGGGUCUAAAGAUUCUUGCCUUGACUUGGUCUUAACCCUCUGCAGCCAAUCAACCCAAAUCUACAUCCACAUUGAACUUGUUAGCAUUUCUUUCACUAUUUAAAUGGUUUUGUUCAAACCUAGGUUUGUUCUUCCUUCAGACUUAUUCCAGACAUUCUCUCUCUCUCUCUCUCUCUCUCUCUCUCUCUCUCUUCUCUCUCUCUCUUCUCUCUCUCUCUCUCUUCUGUGUCUAGGGCUUUUGUAACCAAGUACCACAACCAAGUGGUUUAAAACAACAAAAACGUAUUCUUUUCACAGUUCUGGAAGCUUAAAGUCCAAAAUCAAGAUGACAGCAGGCCCUUGCUCCCUCUGAGAACUGCAGGGGAGUUCUCCUCACCUCUUCCCAGCUUCAGGUGGUUUGCAGGCAAGCUUUAGCCUCCCCAGGCUGGAACCACUCCAAUCUCAUCUGCACACGCUUUCUCUGUCUUUCACUUCUCUUCCUUCUGUACUGGUCUGUCUCUGGGUCCAAAUUUCCAUUUUUUUAAGGUCACCAGUCAUAUGGGAUUAGUUCCUACCUUAAUGACUUCAUUUUAACUUAAUUACCUCUGUAAGAAUCCCAUUUCCAAAAAUAAGCUCACAUUCAGAGGUACUGGGGUUAGGACUUCAACGUAUCUUAUUCGGGGAACACAAUUCAUCCGUUAACACUCUUCUCAGUCCUUGCUAACAUUGUUCUCUUAUUUACUUAAUUAUCUAUAAAAGCAAAGCACUCUGUUAACUAAAGGGUCAACGUUGUUUGAUUACAACUAAUCCAUGUUGACUCCAUUAGUGUUAAGGUAAUUUAAAUGACUGUUUAGCACUUUACUAAAUGUUUAAUAAAAUUAGUAAUUAAUUCUCAUGAAAUAAAAUGGCUCUCUUGCUACAACAUGAAAUGUGAUGGAAAUCACUUUUCCUAUUGAAUUUGAUACUAUAGAACCUGGCUUACUGGGACAGAAUACAAAAAUAUAAGGAUUCAUAUUUUUACAUAACUAACAUUAAAAUGGUAACCUUGCUCUUAACCUCACAGAAAAAAAAUCUAUUUAAUAAUCAUCAUUUCUUGGUACAUCUUUAUUAUUACUAGUGAUUCCAGCUCCAUUUUUUUUUAUUAUUUUUACUUUUUUGUUGAAAUACUAAGCUCUGCUUUUUAAAGCAAGUUGAUUCUUUCUGGCCUCUUCUUCUAUAUCCUUUGCUGGCUCCUUGUUCUCUACUCACUUUGUGUUAAGUCCCAUUUUCAGUACUAGUCUCAUAUAUACACUCUUUCUCGAAGCAAUCUCAUCCAGGGCUUUUAAGUACCACUAUUGUUCAUGAUUCCCAAUUCUGAAUAUUCAGCCCAAUCUUGUCCUCUGGGUUCCAAACUCAUGAAGUUGACACUUACUUGACCUCAAGUGGCAGGAUCUUACAGUAUCUAAAACAGAACCCUUAUGUCUCCAAACACUUCUGCUCAGCAUAUACACACAUGCAUGCACACACACACAAUCCCCCCCUUUUAAGAAAAAGAGCUGUUAAAAUUAAAACUAUGUUAAAGCAAAAGCACCAGUAAAUAUACAUAGUUAAAGAAAUGCACUUCUGUGUUCCCUGUCCAAUAUCUAUGACAGGUGAGCUGUGCAUUUCAUAGAACUCAGUUGAUAACGUGUUACCAACGCUACACCACCAUCCUUCAGACACCUCCUAACACAUUUUAUCUUAGCAUUAUAGGGUCACAGGUGGUUUAUCUCACAGAUGGUUUGAAUGUGGUAUGGAGAGAAAAUUAACAAAGCUUCAUUUCUACUAUGAGACACAAAAUUCUAGUUUUCAUUUGAGAGAAUGUUUUCUAAAAUAAACACAUAUGACCCAUAUGUGUUAAAGACUGCUUAUUUUCUAUAAAUCUUUUAGAGUUUCUGUUACCAUAGGUAAGUCUAGUGAGAGUUUUGAGUUUUGUUGAACUGAUUAUUAUUUCUAACAGUAAUAUGACCUUCACCUAAAAGCGAUGCAAGGUGCAAUAAAUGUCCCAUGGUCAUAACAGCAUCCAGAGACAAAGUUUUGUUGAAAUGCCUUCAAGUCUGAUUGCUGGGCUGUUGGAAGAUGUCUAAAGCUUUGUUGGAACAAUGCUGCCAAAAUAAGUUCAAUGCUUCACUGAAGCUACUCUCAGAAGAUGGCUCUGAAAUGACAUGCGGAAUGUUAGACUUUAAAAACACACAAUUAAGGCUCACUUAUAUAUGAUAACUAAAAAUAAUGUACUAAAAGUAUAUGAUCAGGUCUUAUGUCUAGAUUAUACAUAUCUAAUGAUAGAAUAUACAUUACUAUAAAACAAGCAAAAACAGAAGUAUCUACACAAAUGUGUAUUUAAAGGCUCUUGGAUGACUUGAUGGAUUUGUAACAUAGUAAUGAAUUGCUUUUUUAAAAAAAGAUUUAUUUCACACAGUUUUCUAUGGGCUUGUAUUCCUGCUUGUUGCUUUCUCUUUAAGUUUGUCUGGCAAAAUCAGGACUAGGAAUGUAAAAUAUGGGGUGAACACACAAAUUUUCUUGGGGGUAGAAGCAUGAAGGAAAAAGUAAGGAUGGAAGAUGGCUAGAGCAGUGGAAUGAAAAAAGGGAAAAGAAGAAUCAGAUGUUGCAAACCAAAGCUCAUCCACAGAUACCAGCCUGAAAUGAUCAUUUCUCUCCAAUUAGAUUUCCCAGUCUGAGUUUUCCCACUCUGAAGGGUAGUUUACAUGCAAUGACAAUAAGAUAAUUAAAACCCUUCAUUUGUUUUUGUUUUUUUUUAACUUUUAGGAAGAGCUAAUGUGCCAUCUAUUUAGUGACCUCAUAGUCAAGUCUUAGUCAUGAGCAUGUACACUGUCUUCAGCAAAUUUGCUCUCCAAAUAUUGUCCCCUUUUUACCCCCAAACUUGUUUACUGCUUCAUAACCUCCGUCUUUCGACAGCUGGUGGGAGCAGAGAACAACAUGAAAGGGGGAAAAAAGACAGCUGGCUUCAGUGGAAAGAAUACCAGAUCCGGGACACAGGGGCCUCCACCCUGUGGUCUGCUGGAGCAGGCUUAUAUGGGCUUGGAGAGUUGGCUUGCUAAGAUUUUUUAGGAAUUUUGUGAGCCAUAUGUUAAAUACAGCCAUUAUUAAACAUCAAAUUAUACAAACUUACAUUUAAAUCAGUCCUAUUAAAAACAGAGGUACUAAAGAGUUAAAACUUAUCUCUUCCUAAUUAUUUUAUUGUGUGUUUUACCUUAUCAAUGCUCUUGAGCUUAGUUAUGCCUAUUUUAUCUAUAUGAUAGAAAUACUAUAUAAAGGCAUCCUUGACACUGGACAAGGUGUGAGUUUUCACACUGAAGACUUUGGCAAAUACUGCAAAUCAAGGGAUGACACUGUUUUGUUGAUUAUCUAGACAUAAGAAAAUGAUGUAGAAACAUUUUUAACAAUAUAAAUCAAACCGCAAAGUGUGUCAUAUCUGCAGCCAUAACAUUAUCAAUAGCACAAAAGAAACUGAGGAAAUAAUUUUUGAGUAUUUGAAAACUAUUAACUAGGGUAGCAAAGAAUUUGUUUAUGUCAUUAAUGGAAUAAAGUUCCAAUACUGCCUUCCUUGUUUUACUUUCUUCUUUCUCCUUAAAGCAAGUAAAACUAUUAACCAGUAUUCAUAUCAGAACUACAGAACCAAGAGUUUGUCAAAUUCAACAAAAGGAUGCUGCUAGAAUUAAAUGGCUAUAUAGAAUUCACACUGAAGAGUAUCACAAUGUUAUUCUCAAUAUUAUUUUUCAAUUUAUUGCUACACAUUCUGUAUAUAGAUAAUAUUAUCAUGUAUGAUAUUAUAAUGUAUCAUAUACAUAUAUGUUUUUGUUUUGCUUGAUAUCCAGUUGUUAAAUGUUUACCAUUACCCCAUUGUCUCUACCAUCCUAAAACCUAUCAAUUUUGGAAAAACUAUUUAACUCUAUGACUAUCAACUUCCUCAUCUGCAAACUAGUGAAAUAAGUACCUUCCUCAGAGGAUAAUUUUAGGGAACAAAAAUUUAUGUCAGAACUCUGUAUGGAUUGUAAAUAUUAGGUAUUAUUAUAAAUUCAAACAUGGUUCAGCUCCUAGUACGAAUGCUAAGAACUUGCAGGAUUUGCAAAGAUGAAUAAGGUUUGGUUCCUACCCUCAAGUAGACCACAGUCUAAUGGUGAGAAAUGUGUGUAAAUAGUUCAAAAUUAUUUAGGAGAGAACAAAAUAUUUUAUAACAGAGUAAAAAGCGAAGUACUAUAAGAUUAAAAGAAAAUAACUGAUUUUACCUAGAACACCAAAGAAGGCUUUAUAAAGAAGAUGGAAUUUCAAAAUAAGCUUCAGAAUAAGUUGCAUUUGUAUUAAUUGAGAAAAUGUACAUGGAAAGUGGAGGUAUUCUAGCCUGAUGGGUGAAACUUCAAAACCUUAUCAUUACAAAUAUUACAAUGCCAAGUCAGAAAAUCAAAAUUGUAUUGAUAAAUCUACUACAUAAAAAACCUUAUGUGUUAUUCCAAUGUAAAACAGAAAUAAUGCCUUUAUAUUAAUAGAUUAUACAAUCCAGUGUUCCUAUCCACAAUCUUAUGUCAUCAAAGUUUGAGUAAACAAUUAUUUAGUUUUUCCAACUUAUAAGCCAUGUCCAUUUCUGAAAACCAUAGUAUAAAUUAUUCCCUGGCCUUUUUUCCUUAGUGAAAGAAAACAUUCAUGUUGAUUUUUUAAAAUUAUUUUUCAAGAAUACUCUAUAAAGUAUGUUUAAGUUUUUCACAGGCCAUAAGGGACUAUCCAAUAGAUUCAAAGACAAGUAGCCACUGAUUUCCAAUAUAUGCAUACAUAAAUUAUGCACACAUUAUGUGAAAAAUGAAGAACAUAUCCAAGAGGUUCUUAUGGGAGACUGGAACACUAAGGCAAAAUAAAAGAGAAAAUACUCUAAAACCUUCUUGAUGUGAAAAAGGACUAACUAUUGAGGAACAUUAUUGCAUCCCGUGGGUAAUGAGCCUUGCAAGGGUUGACAUUACUCAGUAAAGUUUAUUGAAAGCUUUUUUCCUCUUGCUUGUCAAAAUAUGCUAGCUAACUGUUUGUGACCAAAAAAAAAAAAAAAAACAAAAAAAAACCACAAUGCUUCGAAGAAAGCUUGGCAGAACAUCUACAGAAUCUGUCUUAAGUGUAAUGAAAGGGAGAUGUCUAUUAAUUUCUCACACACACAAAAGUCUGACACAAAAGGUCUGUGGCCUUGACCUCAAGUGACCACAGGGCCAGUCCGGUUCCAAAGGGAUUAAGAAGAGCAUCUGCUCCUCUGAACGGCCCUUUUCUCUCUUCUCUGGUUUCUAACUUCCCAUUACACGCACUCUCUCCACAAGGCACCGCGCCAACGGAGCCCUUCACUCUGUUCUCUCCCUGAUGACAGCUGUCGUUCUGUCGCCGCCUGGACGUGCAACAUUUCCACAAAAUCUAAAGCGGAAUUGGGAGGGCAGGGGCCGAAACACGCAGCCAAGAUCUCCCUCCUGGAGGUCUGGGGCUCCUCAGCCACCACUUUUGAACCUGCUGAAGUAUGAACAGUUCCCUAAAUGUGUUUUCUCUGGUGUCUACCUCUUGGGAACUUCUUGGAGGAAGCAGAUUAUAAUCUUCUACACCUCCUCCUACAACUGGCUUAACUUCAUGACUAUCUGAUAGACAUUGCAAAAACAGUAUGCCAGCUCAGUUGGGGCAAACACAAGGUGUACACUGGAGCAAGAUUUGGACACACAUGUAUGAAGAUUUUGGAGCAUGCCUACGAAGGAUUGAGGAACCUUAGUACUGUCACAUCCCUGUUGAGACCACCCUUCUGGUUAGAAUUGGUUCACUUGUUAUGUGUUGCAAUGGAAGUCCUGGAAUGUUGGAGUGGGAAAAGGGGAAGAGGUAGAAGUUAUAAUUUUUCUAUUCUCCUACUCUCCAAAAAGAGGCAUACUUCUUGCUAUUACAAGCACUUUACAUCUUUGCAUUAAGAAAUGGCCUCCAGAGGGUUGUUUUAUUGGGAGAUUAAGAUGAGAAAGAAAUGGAAGAUGAAUACAUAGUGUGUGUGGGCUGGGGGAGUGUGUUUUUAAGGCUGUAGGAAAGCCUGAAGAGUGGGAGAAACCAAAGGAGAAAAGAUAAGGAAAAUACCUUUGGUAUGUUUUGAUUCAAGAAAUAUUGUUUAUAAUUAGUUUUGAAAUCUGAAACAGAUAGCCAAGCACCAUCUUUUAAAUUGCUGUUUGGGUUAAAAAUAAGCCUCCGUUAAUAUUAACUGUAUUAAUGACCUCACAGCACUGAUCUGGUUACCAUAAUUAGUAUUGCAAUGAUAGGCAUUUAAUAUUUUCCUAAUGUCAUGCACCGAGCAGCCCCACGUGACACUGACAAGUUCAAGUAUUUCUCACCAUCUAAUUUAUUGCUGACUAUUUGCAGCCACCAGGGACUUCUGUGCAACAAAUGUUACUGCAUACCCACUAUGUGACUUGGGAGCCACCAGAGUGCUCAUAUCAGGGACACAAACACUUGCUUACUACUUUAAGUAGUAAGCUGUCCUUUGCUUUCCUCUGGAGUCUAGAAGAUCAGAACAGAUUAGGCCUCCUAGAUUACACCCCUAACAGUCAUCAGUAACAAAGGAAGGGAGAAGGUAGCAUGACUGAAAGUGAAAACAAAACACCAACACAAAGUCUCUGCAAAUCCUAAGGACAUGACAACGUUUUAUGUGUGCAUGCAUGUAUGCAUUUAUUCAUCAGAUUACAUGAAGUGUUCCAAAGUAAAAAGAAGACUUUUUUUCCAACCCCCUCAACCCUGCCCCUGUUUUUAACCACAGGAGGCAUGUAUAGAGAGAAUAUCGCUAACAGGUGAUGAACUUUGAGAGAAGAUUUUUCUCAUAUCUGUCAAGAACAAUCCUGUAUUAUUGCAUUAUACUAUGUAUGACAUUACCAUUAAGGAAUGUGAGUGAAAGGUAA